rnacentral:tRNA from 1 species
GCUCCCAUAGCUUAACGGACAGAGCGCGGCCCUCCGGAGGCUGAUAUGGCAGUUCAAGUCUGCCUGGGAGCGCAA